AUUUUAUAACGAAGGGUGGAGAGCACGGGCUCCCUGAAACCCUGGCAACCAUUCCUCCGAUGGCUUCGGAUGAAAAGGUGCCAAAUCCCGCCACCGCAGUGCGUUUUGCCCGGUGGAACUAUAAAAU
rnacentral:ncRNA from 2 species